rnacentral:lncRNA from 1 species
AGUUGCUGGUAAAUAAAAAAACUAUUUUAUUUGGACUUGGAGACAAACAAAUAAACAAACAACAGAAGAUGGAGUUGAGUAGGCAGUUGUAUAGGCAACAGUACAAACUAAAGAGAGGCAUGAUAUAUGCACACAAAAAAUAGAGUAUUUAGAUAAAUCAAUCAAAUGGCUCUUUUCUAGUCACAAUUAAACAAUAUCUAACUCUGCAGUAAUAAAAACAUAUAAAUAAUCCAACAAAUAAUUUGAAAUAGGC